UACAGCCAUAUCACGUUGAAACACCGGUCCCCGUACAAUCACCGAAGUUAAGCAACAUCGAGGCUGGCUAGUAUAUAGAUGGGUGACUGCUUAGGAAUACCGGGUGCGGUAAU